GAACAUGCUUUCGACAUGCCGUGAGAAUGAUUGGUUGAACUCAUCUUUGUUUAUUAUUGCUACCAUGUAAAUGUAUCUGGUACAAUAUAAAAGAAAAAUUUGUUAAGUAUAUUGAGCAUUGCGGUGAACAUUGUCUUAUACAACACCUUCACUAGUUUAAGACGUAAACAUGACUCACUUUCAUGUCAGCCGUUCUCGUAUGACUCUACUUUUACAUGUUUUACUAGCUGGAUGUUUUGGUCAAAUCUGUACUUCAGCUAAGAUAUCGGAGACGCCAUGUACUAGCAAUGGGCAUGAGUGCACCGUGCCAGAUUCGGAAUGUGACACAGUAAAUUCAAAGUGUAAAUGUGGUGGUGGUUUUGUAGAAAAUACAAUUGACGGGACAUCAUGCGUUUCCAGCGGUAGUCAAACACAUACCAGUAAGUUAUAAUAAAGGUUUAGUAAAAUAUUUUCUGAAAAUAGUAGGAGGAAAUCACUUUAACCCUUUCCCCCAUGAGCAUGUUGUGAAAAAUCGCCAUUUUCACUGAAAAGCCUCCUCUUACAAGUUCAAACUGCUAUGAAACUAUGAAAAAUGCUUCAAUACUAAUCAAACUUGGCACAAAUGUUGACUAGACCAUUGCCUUUGUAACGACAUGCUCAGUCUUGAAUUUCCUGUUACCAUGGCAACGAGGGGACAUCUCAAAAUUGCCAAAAAUCACUAUUUUGCCUCGA